UACGUAGGGUGCAAGCGUUGUCCGGAAUUAUUGGGGCGUAAAGAGCUUGUAGGCGGUUUGUCGCGUCUGCUGUGAAAUUUCGGGGCUCAACCCCGAACUUGCAGUGGGGUACGGGCAGACUAGAGUGGUGGUAGGGGAGACUGGAAUUCCUGGUGUAGCGGUGAAAUGCGCAGAUAUCAGGAGGAACACCGAUGGCGAAGGCAGGUCUCUGGGCCACUACUGACGCUGAGAAGCGAAAGCAUGGGGAGCGAACAGG
rnacentral:rRNA from 1 species